CUUCUCUCACUGUCUUCUACUGCAAGACCAUCAUUUUAUCCAUGUUUUUAUCCAUUCCCAUUACUGCUGGGGAAAGGGACUUCUCCUGAGUGAAGAUUGUGGGAUCUGACUUGAAGCAAGAUGAGGGAAGCAAAGCCUCUGUGAACAUUGCAGGUGGCAGCUAGAGAAUGCUCUACAGGGAAGAAACGUAAAUCAGUGAGGUGGUGAUCCCUCAGGUACCCUGGAGGGUGAGCAGAGCUGGACAGAUCCCAAAUCCAGGCGCUUUGGUGUUCAGAUCUGUCACCUUGUAAAGCUGUGGUUGUGCUGAGCCUCUCUGCUCCCAGCAGCAGCAGGAUAUUGAAGGAUUUGAGAUCUCUGAGCAGCCACAACCCCCUGCUCUACCCCCUCAUUUCCACCCCAGCCACAGCUCCCUCAGCCCCACAC